GGAAACCCACAAAGAACUUGACCUGCGACGAUGGUCCCUUGGGCGGGCAGAACACUACAAGCAACGGCGCACUGCUCCCUGUGCUUGCCAGGUGCAUAUCAGAUUCCCACAAAGCAACUGGCUGCCUGUAACCAUUCCAGCAACUUUGCCUUAAGCUGAUAAUUGAAGAAAAUACUUGGCUCUGGGAAGAGACAUGGAGGAAAUGUCUGACAGAUCUGUGUGACAGAGAGCAGCACUCCCUUGGUGAGGAAGGAGUGAUGGAUGUCCUCAUUGUGGCCAUUUUGGUUAAGGAGAAAUUGCUGUCUAACUGAUCUUUUGUGGACUUCUGACCAAAACCAUCCAGUGCAACAUAUGCACAGACACAUCCAGAUUCCUGCUAGGAUUUGGAAUUGGCAUCGAGCAACACCCACUCCUCCACCCGGACCAGAAACCACCGAGAUGUCCCUCCCUCGGAUGAAGCUCAUGUGUCACUCACAACCCAUGGCAGAGGGCGUGCAGGGGCUUGGAGCAGAGGACAGUUGGAAUGGGAAGAUAUAGCAUGGUUAACCAGAAUCCAGACUCAUCUGAGCUCCUUGGGCAUCUCCCACUGCAACAUUCAGG
rnacentral:lncRNA from 1 species